rnacentral:rRNA from 1 species
GACGAACGCUGGCGGCGUGCUUAACACAUGCAAGUCGAACGGAAAGGCCUCUUUCGGGGGGUACUCGAGUGGCGAACGGGUGAGUAACACGUGAGUAACCUGCCCUUGCCUUUGGGAUAACUUCAGGAAACUGGGGCUAAUACCGGAUAGGAGCUCCUGCUGCAUGGUGGGGGUUGGAAAGUUUCGGCGGUUGGGGAUGGACUCGCGGCUUAUCAGCUUGUUGGUGGGGUAGUGGCUUACCAAGGCUUUGACGGGUAGCCGGCCUGGGAGGGUGACCGGCCACAUUGGGACUGAGAUACGGCCCAGACGCCUACGGGAGGCAGCAGUGGGGAAUAUUGCACAAUGGGUGGAAGCCUGAUGCAGCAACGCCGUGUGCGGGAUGACGGCCUUCGGGUUGUAAACCGCUUUCGCUCAUGACGAAGCUUUGUGUGACGGUAGUGGGUAAAGAAGCACCGGCUAACUACGUG